rfam:Medicago truncatula strain A17 chromosome 2, whole genome shotgun sequence.
AGGUGCGAUCAUACCAGCACUAAUGCACCGGAUCCCAUCAGAACUCCGCAGUUAAGCGUGCUUGGGCGAGAGUAGUACUAGGUAGGAUGGGUGACCUCCUGGGAAGUCCUUGUGUUGCACCUC